rnacentral:rRNA from 1 species
GACGAACGCUGGCGGCGUGGAUUAGGCAUGCAAGUCGAACGGUAGGAUCCUUUCGGGGAUCUGAGAGUGGCGAACGGGUGAGUAACACGUAGGUGAUCUACCCUCAAGACGGGGACAACCCAGGGAAACUUGGGCUAAUACCGGAUGUGAGCUAUCGCGAGAUAGUUUGAAAGGUGGCUUCGGCUGCCGCUUGAGGAUGAGCCUGCGUCCUAUUAGCUAGUUGGUGAGGUAACGGCUCACCGAGGCAGUGAUAGGUAGGCGGCCUUAACGGGUGGUCGCCCACACUGGGAUUGAGAUACGGCCCAGACCCCUACGGGAGGCAGCAGUCGAGAAUAGUCUACAAUGGUCGAAAGACUGAUAGUGCGACGCCGCGUGAACGAAGAAGCCCUUCGGGGUGUAAAGUUCUUUUAUAUGUGAGCAGUGACACCCAUAUUAAUAGUAUGGGUGUAGAGAUAUUAGCAUAUGAAUAAGCAACGGCUAACUCCGUG